UCUCUCCCGAGAGCAACAGGAGCUUGACCGGCCGGCCUCCGUCCAACUCCGGCGACCGUCAACUCCGGCCACCGGAUCUGCUUCCCCACCAGCCUCCGCCCAACUCGGGCGACCGUCAACUUCAGCGAGGCAGUUUGGCGGUGAGGUGUGUCUGUCCUGGCCAUCGACGGGUCCGAUGACGACGACAAGGUAGUGGGUUCACCGGCUGGCGCUGGAUCCGGCGUCCACGACGCCGCUUGGCGGCCUCCUCGUCCAUCCCGUCCCCGGCGUGACCAGCUCGUGAGCACGGGCACCACGACGGGUCAUCGCCAGAUCCGGCGACUCCAAGCCUGACCGCCACCGGAUUUCGUGAGUCAAGAAUCCCAUCUAUCCUAACCUCUCUCCAUAUGCACUUCAUGAUUUCGGAUUUAAUUAGCAUGAUUUGAACGUUCUUUGUUUCUUUACCAGAUCGUCGGCCUCCCCUGCUACUUCAGUUUCAAAUAUUUGUUGAACAUUCUUUGUUUCUUUACCAGAUCGUCGGCCUCCCCUGCUACUUCAUUUUCAGAUAUUUGCAACUUGAUUUGAACAUUCUUUGUUUGUGACAGAGAGCAUGGGGUAUAGUUUUUUUAAAGAGACUGAGAUCUAUGAAAUUACUUCUCUGAAAAUAUGUAAUUACUUCCCUGUAAUAUAUUUGAAUGUGGUGUUGCAAGUUCUGAAACAAAUUUAUGUGAAAUGAUUUCUGGAAUAUAUGUGAAUUUAUAUUUCAAUAUGGUGAAACUGACAAUUUCAGUCUGUGGAAGUGUUAUAUAUUUCUGAAAAUGGUUGGAAUGAUU
rnacentral:lncRNA from 1 species